rnacentral:rRNA from 1 species
AGUGAACGCUGGCGGUAGGCCUAACACAUGCAAGUCGAACGGCAGCACAGUAAGAGCUUGCUCUUACGGGUGGCGAGUGGCGGACGGGUGAGGAAUACAUCGGAAUCUACUUUUUCGUGGGGGAUAACGUAGGGAAACUUACGCUAAUACCGCAUACGCCCUACGGGUGAAAGCAGGGGAUCUUCUGACCUUGCGCGAUUGAAUGAGCCGAUGUCGGAUUAGCUAGUUGGCGGGGUAAAGGCCCACCAAGGCGACGAUCCGUAGCUGGUCUGAGAGGAUGAUCAGCCACACUGGAACUGAGACACGGUCCAGACUCCUACGGGAGGCAGCAGUGGGGAAUAUUGGACAAUGGGCGCAAGCCUGAUCCAGCCAGACCGCGUGGGUGAAGAAGGCCUUCGGGUUGUAAAGACCUUUUGUUGGGAAAGAAAAGCAGCAGGUUAAGACCCCGCUGUUCUGACGGUACCCAAAGAAUAAGCACCGGCUAACUUCGUG